GAUGAAGAACGUAGCGAAAUGCGAUAAGUAAUGUGAAUUGCAGAAUUCAGUGAAUCAUCGAAUCUUUGAACGCACCUUGCACCCUUUGGUAUUCCGAAGGGUAUGCUCGUUUGAGUGUCAUUGUACUCUCACACUUCUCAUUCCUUUCGGGAUUGGGAGCGGUGGACUUGGGUGUUGCUGCUUUAGUUGUGGCUCACCUCAAAUAAGUUAGUGCAACUCUUGGUUGGACAUAGUACGGCGUGAUAAGUGUCUUCGCCGGCGCCUCUGUAAGGAGGGUGGCCGAUCGGGAGCUCUGUGCUUCAAACCGUCUUCGGACAAUCUUUGACAACUUGACCUCAAAUCGAGUAGGACUACCCGCUGAACUUAAGCAUAUCAAUAAGCGGAGGA
rnacentral:misc_RNA from 1 species